rnacentral:rRNA from 1 species
AUUGAACGCUGCGGCGUGCUUAACACAUGCAAGUCGAACGCGAAAGUGGCUUCGGCCGCGAGUAGAGUGGCGCACGGGUGAGUAACGCGUGGAUAAUCUGCCCUCAUGACCGGGAUAACAGUUGGAAACGGCUGCUAAUACCGGAUACGCUCUGAAUGAAGUUUUAGGGGAAAGACGGCCUCUGCUUGCAAGCUGUCGUAUGAGGAUGAGUCCGCGUCCCAUUAGCUUGUUGGCGGGGUAAGUGCCCACCAAGGCAACGAUGGGUAGCCGAUCUGAGAGGAUGAUCGGCCACACUGGAACUGAAACACGGUCCAGACUCCUCGGGAGGCAGCAGUGGGGAAUAUUGCGCAAUGGGCGAAAGCCUGACGCAGCGACGCCGCGUGAGGGAUGAAGGUUUUCGGAUCGUAAACCUCUGUCAGAAGGGAAGAAGGUGCGUGGUGCCAAUCAGCCGCGUAUUGACGGUACCUUCAAAGGAAGCAC